AAAUAGGAAGCGAAGUUCGCAACUGAUUUCGACUCAGAGCUUGGUUAAAACUAACCCCUAUUUA
rnacentral:tRNA from 1 species